AAGCACCUUCCCCCAGGUCUGAACGCAGCUCGGGAAAGCACAGGCUUGAGAGCAACCGGUGCCGUCCUUGGAAGUUAUCUGCCCACAAAAACGUAUCUUGUCCUUGAAGACGAGCCAAGACUCCUCACUCUGAAAAUAGGGAGACCUUGAGGAUGUGUGAAAACACCGCCCCUGCUUACCAGGCAGCUUCUAAGAAAAUCAACAAGGUGCUCUGGCCCGUCCCCCCCUGAGAAGGGAAAGAUGAGUAUAGCACUUGGCUGAGGUCCGAGAAAGGCAGUAUAAAAAUAAAGGUGCUGCGCCACAUCGGGGCUGCAGCCAUUGUCUGUCUGCCUGUGUUGUCUGUGUUUUUUGUUCUCUCAUUUCACCCAAAGAAGAUGAGUGGCACGUUACACCUGGCGCCCAACGUGGGGCGUCCUCUCAGAAGGCCGGGGGAUUUCCAGGCGCUGUGAGCACCAGGAAUCCAACACACAGCGUCUUGUGAAGAGAAAUGGAAUUCCCUCAUCCAGGCUACAGAGAAAGCAAUAAUGUUGUCAGCAUAACGUGUGUCACCAUGGCCAGGGUCCCAGGCUGGUGAGGGGGUGGCUGGGUGGCUUGGCCCUGGCUUGGCCAGCAAGACUGAGCAUCCAUCAUCCAAAGGCAGGACACUGAAGGACCUUCUCAGUCUGAUUUCACUCUGCAUCAAAUUUUCUGAGGCUUCACCUGCCGCUUCACCUGCCACUCCCCCCCACCCCCUCACCUUCUCGCCAUCCUCCCAUUCUCUUCUCUGCCUGUCCUAUGGUGUCUCACCGAUGCCCAGGGUCACUGUCCAAAAGUACCCGGCCUCAGAGCAAGGCUGAAGUUCACCUUGAGCCCCGUGAGCCAAGCCCCGCUGCAGACUGGAAGAAGGGCGCCUUUUCAGACUUCAGCUGCCCAGACGGGACUCCUGUUCUGACAUUCACGAAAAUUAAACGGUAACAACAAGCCAGAAUUCUCAAGAGCACAUGGAAACGGGUGUGAGCAGACACUGGCGGCUUCCUAACCAACAGCCUUCUCUGUGCCCCUCUUUCUUCCAUCAUGGCCAGAUGUCAUGAACUCAAGGACCCCUUCCCAGCCUCAGACAUAAAUCUUAAUUCGUUUAAAUCAUUCAUGGUCAUUUCUUUCCCCU